rnacentral:rRNA from 1 species
AUGAUGAGGUCUGGCCGUCGUCACCCACGACCGCGCUCUCGCAUCUCUCCAGCUUCAAGUAGUGUCCUCCUCAGCUGCAGGUCGUGUUCUCCUCCAGCUGCUAUGGUGCACAUUCAAGGCAGCAAGCACGCCACAGGUCGCAGCGCCGCCGUCGACCACAUGCGCGCAUGCGUGCGAUUGAUGCGUGUGUGCUUUAGUUUAAUUCGUAUGCAUCGUCCCGACAACGCAUCACGCAGCCACCGACCUCCUCUGCUUGGGCCACACCACCACCGGCCGGUCCACAAUGGUUGCUGGCAGCUGUCCAAGUUGAGAGCUGAUGAGGGAAGCAUCACUGGUUGGGAUAGUUCAAAAAAUAGAACUAGCAAGUUCUUGGCAAGAGCUUUAGCUGAACAGUUUUAUGAACUUGCGCAUGACCAUGAAGUAGAAGAAAGCAUAACAUCAGUCCAACUGGUGGACGUGGAGGUGAUUUUUGUAUCUAAAAAAGCAAAACAUCAGUCCAGCUGGUGGACGUGGAGAACAUCCUUUACUUGUUUUCUGCUGCGCGCCGUCCCAGCCUCCCUCCGCCGCCGCGCACCGCCAUCCCCGCCCUGUGCCGCCACCCCAAGCCCCUCCGCCGUGCGCCGCCACUCCGAGCCCCGCCGCCUUGCGCCUGUCACCCCUCGCCUUGCGCAACAUCCUACCGACCGGACCAGCCGCCGGCCGAAUCCAGCCUCACACCUGAGCAUCGUCUUCUUCCUCGCCGAGACACACGACAACCACCCUAGUUCGACCGUAUUGGUAGUCUUCGCCGGUCAAUUUUCGUCCCACCUCCCUGUAACGAAUCUGGUCACCCCGCUCGAUCUGGAUCACCCCGCUCGAUCUGGAUCUCGUCGGCGGCGGCUCCUCCCCACGCACCGACGCAUCCCCAGAGCCCUCCCCACCUCCUCCCAGAACCGGCGACUUCGCCUCCCGCCGUGGCCCCCUCUCUUCCCCUCCCCUCGUCGCAGAUCGAGCGACAACCGCGGUGUGGGCGGGCGACGCCAACGCGCUGCUCCUGCUCGGCCACCCGGGCCCGUCCAUCGCCUGCUCGCCUCCCGCAGCGUCUUCUCCGAGCACACAACCGACGGUGGCCGGAGGCUGUACACGCUUGUGCUGUCGUGGCCGCGGCUCCACAAGGCCGUGCGCGACCCAGCCAGCGCCAAGCCCUUCGCGCGCGCCCACGCCUAA